AAAAUAACUUUUAAAUGGACACUGGAUAAAGUAUGAGGUGUGUAUAUGCAGUACCUGACAUAUGCCAAAACACACAUAGAUAAAAUUAUGAGGCAUGAGACAUUUUUGGCUUCAGUGAUUUACACUUUGUAGAGUGAAUGGUGCUCACAGAGAAACCCUAUUGAUGUGUAAACUUUUUGAUGGUAUACACCUCUUGACUUGAUGGCAAAUAGUGGGAAACAGUGGCAUUCUCCAUGCUGGUUAGUGGAGAAUGGUGGAGAAAUAUCCAUGGCAAAUAGUGGCAUUUAGAGAAAAACAGUGGCAUAUUUUACACUGAUUGCCACAACAGUUAUGGUGGCAAAUAGUGGAAAAUUUUAGUGGCAAAUGGUGAAAUACGUUCCAAUACUCCACUGAUAGUGGCAUUCAAUGGAAAACA